AACGCAGCGUUUGCGGUUGGUAGC
rnacentral:siRNA from 1 species